GUCCUCUUCGACGGCGGCCCGGGGCCGCCGGGCGGCCCGCGGUUCGUCCCGCACGGGCCGCGGCGCCGGUUCGAAGCCGGCGGAAUACUCC
rnacentral:tRNA from 1 species